CGCGGCCUAUCAGCUUGUUGGUGAGGUAAUGGCUCACCAAGGCGUCGACGGGUAGCCGGCUGAGAGGGUGACCGGCCACACUGGGACUGAGACACGGCCCAGACUCCUACGGGAGGCAGCAGUGGGGAAUAUUGCACAAUGGGCGAAAGCCUGAUGCAGCAACGCCGCGUGAGGGAUGACGGCCUUCGGGUUGUAAACCUCUUUUAGCAGGGAAGAAGCGAAAGUGACGGUACCUGCAGAAAAAGCGCCGGCUAACUACGUGCCAGCAGCCGCGGUAAUACGUAGGGCGCAAGCGUUAUCCGGAAUUAUUGGGCGUAAAGAGCUCGUAGGCGGUUUGUCGCGUCUGCUGUGAAAUCCCGAGGCUCAACCUCGGGCCUGCAGUGGGUACGGGCAGACUAGAGUGCGGUAGGGGAGAUUGGAAUUCCUGGUGUAGCGGUGGAAUGCGCAGAUAUCAGGAGGAACACCGAUGGCGAAGGCAGAUCUCUGGGCCGUAACUGACGCUGAGGAGCGAAAGGGUGGGGAGCAAACAGGCUUAGAUACCCUGGUAGUCACCCCGUAAACGUUGGGAACUAGUUGUGGGGUCCAUUCCACGGAUUCCGUGACGCAGCUAACGCAUUAAGCUCCCCGCCUGGGGAGUACGG
rnacentral:rRNA from 1 species